UACGUAGGGUACGAGCGUUGUCCGGAAUUAUUGGGCGUAAAGGGCUCGUAGGCGGUCUGUCGCGUCGGGAGUGAAAACUCAGGGCUUAACCCUGAGCCUGCUUCCGAUACGGGCAGACUAGAGGUAUGCAGGGGAGAACGGAAUUCCUGGUGUAGCGGUGGAAUGCGCAGAUAUCAGGAGGAACACCGGUGGCGAAGGCGGUUCUCUGGGCAUUACCUGACGCUGAGGAGCGAAAGCGUGGGGAGCGAACAGG
rnacentral:rRNA from 1 species